CGCCGCGGUAACACCGGCGGCCCGAGUGGUGAUCGUGAUUAUUGGGUCUAAAGGGUCCGUAGCCGGUUGGUCAGUCCUCCGGGAAAUCUGAUAGCUCAACUAUUAGGCUUUCGGGGGAUACUGCCAGACUUGGAACCGGGAGAGGUAAGAGGUACUACAGGGGUAGGAGUGAAAUCUUGUAAUCCCUGUGGGACCACCUGUGGCGAAGGCGUCUUACCAGAACGGGUUCGACGGUGAGGGACGAAAGCUGGGGGCACGAACCGGAUUAGAUACCCGGGUAGUCCCAGCCGUAAACGAUGCUCGCUAGGUGUCAGGCAUGGCGCGACCGUGUCUGGUGCCGCAGGGAAGCCGUGAAGCGAGCCACCUGGGAAGUACGGCCGCAAGGCUGAAACUUAAAGGAAUUGGCGGGGGAGCACAACAACGGGGUGGAGCCUGCGGUUUAAUUGGACUCAACGCCGGACAACUCACCGGGGGCGACAGCAAUAUGUAGGCCAAGCUGAAGACUUUGCCUGAAUCGCUGAGGGGUGGUGCAUGG
rnacentral:rRNA from 1 species